CACCUAGGUUUUCUUCUAUGUUAAUUUGCUCUUCUCUUUCUAGUUUCCUAAUGUGGAGGCUUAAAUUAUUGAUUUUAGCUAUUUCUUCUUUUCUAAUAUAUGUAUUUAAUACUAUAAAUUCUCUUCUAAGCACUGUGUUUUCACGGCAGCCCGCAGAUUUGGGAGACCCUUCUUGGGAUGGAGGCAGAGAAUCAGGAAUUGGAAUGUCCUGCCUUGACCCCCAGAAAAAACACACCAGACAUCCAGAGAGGACACAUCCUCCGCUGCUUGGAAUGGCGUAAGUAUUUCUCCUGAUGAAUGGACAGAAACAGAAGUUGAACUUCCCUGCAGAGAAACGCUGACUGACCCGGGGAUGUGCAUGGAUUUGGGUAUAAGCUCUGUUAGACACAGAGAGUUGGCAUGGAUUGUGCAUCUAGUGUGGACCAGCAGCUGUACGGAGUCAAGAUGCCGCUCUUGCCGCCCUCCCCAUUCCUGGAUCUGCCCCUGACGGGAUGUGUGGGGAUCACCUGAACUUGGCACUCGGACCAGCUCUGCUUUAGGUUUCUCUUCGGCAAAAUGAGAAUACUAUUGUUGCCAUGAUCAAAAGAGGGAAAUGUUGCCAAGGUGGUCUGUAAAUUCAAAGCUGGACUCAGAGACCUUGCCCAUUCCUCUUGGGAGACCGUUUCUGAGUUCUACGUCUGCAAUUAUCCUGCAGCAAACAGCUCUAUGUCUGUCGGUGCCCCUCGACUCCCAGGAAGCAGGAGACACAGCCACCUCCCAUCGCAGAGCUGAAGAAACAUCUGGUUGAGGGAGCCAAGGGCUUGUUGUUUUUCCGUGUUCAACUGGAUCUGAGUUGUGACCCCUUUGUCCUGCGUUGCCACAGCCCUCCCCUAAAUUUCUGGAACACUAGGGCUGACUCUGUGUUUUACUUUUGUGCCGCCUUUCUCCCUCCCCUUCUCAUUUCUCAUACUGUGCCAGCCCAUAUAUAUUUAGCUCUUUUAACCCAGCUCCAUAAAUCAUGCCUGCAAGUCAAGUCCCUGAAAAUGUUUCCCCUGAACUCCCUCCAGACCAUAUCUAAAAUACUUACCUUCCGGUAAAUGCAUCAUAGCGAAUUCAGUG